GAAAUGCGAUAAGUAAUGUGAAUUGCAGAAUUCAGUGAAUCAUCGAAUCUUUGAACGCACAUUGCGCCCGCCAGUAUUCUGGCGGGCAUGCCUGUCCGAGCGUCAUUUCAACCAUCAAGUCCCCGGGCUUGUGUUGGGGACCUGCGGCUGCCCGCAGGCCCUGAAAACCAGUGGCGGGCUCGCUGUCACACCGAGCGUAGUAGCAAUCACCUCGCUCAGGGCGUGCUGCGGGUUCCGGCCGUUAAACAGCCUUACAAAACCCAAGGUUGACCUCGGAUCAGGUAGGAAGACCCGCUGAACUUAAGC
rnacentral:misc_RNA from 1 species